rnacentral:tRNA from 1 species
GACCGCGUAGCUCAGUUGGCAGAGCAUUGGGCUAGUAUUCCAAAGGUCGCAGGUUCGAUUCCCACCGUGGCCA